UGGCAGAGAUGGGCCUUUUGCUGUCCCUGUGAAAAUCUGCCCAAGUUUGGCCAAUUUGUAUGCCUUUGGAAGAUUGCAGUUAGCACAUGCUCAGCAGAGACUUGCUAGGGAUUAGCAGCUAAACUCACUGAAGAUUCCAUCCUUACUGAGCAUGCUCCAUGGGGUUGGAGGAACAGAGAGGGGUCCAAGUGCAGGUUUUUAUUGUGGGCCUCCUCCCAUACAACAACAUCCUGUCCCACCCAGCACUGCAACCCUAAUCCUGGCCUAGUGUGGAAGGGAGGGCUGGUGGGGAGGCUGGAGAGCAAGUCCACCUGACAGGUGCUGCAACCCCAUGUGCUAAAUUGCAAUGCCUGGAGCAGGGUGCCAUGCCUAGCCCCAUGGAUACAGGAGAUGCUGGAGCUGCUACUACCAGGAGCUGUCCUGACCGUUGCUGUUUGGGCGAAGUGGGGCCUUGACCGUGCCUGUAGCUCUGGAUUGCUUAAUCCUCAGGAGACUUUUGUUCCCGUCAGCUGUGCAGCACGCCACUGGACUCCCGGAAUUGUCUUUGCAGGGUGUGAAUCUCUGCUUUGUUUGUGGAAAACGCUCCCCCAUCACAGGCUUAAUGCAGGUGUGGUUGCCCCCCUGAGAUCCUUUGAGACUGGAAAUGUGUAUCAGUUAUCUGCCACAACGUUGUCAUGCCUAUGGGAUCGGUCUGCAGCUGGAUGAUAGCUGGGUGCCCAAACUCAGGCCCAAGGGAGGCAAAUUCCUAAGCUGCAAUCAACACCAAUGAUCUCACUGCAGUCACCAAAAUACCUUAUAAUCA